rnacentral:lncRNA from 1 species
AUCAAAUAAUUUUUUUCGUACAAAUACUUUUUACAGAUCAAUGUAGAAAACUUGACAUUGUCAUUUUUUAUUUUUCUUUGCAGAAAAACGAAAAUUCUCUUGAAAGGAGACAUUUGCCCUCUCUUUCUCUUUAUAUUAAUGUUCAAAUAAUUUCUCUUUAUAUUCUUUGUGCUCUCAGGAGCACGGAGGCCUCUGUGCUCCUGAGUUGUUUUCGAUAAUAGAAUUUUCGAAUCGACGAUCGGCUUCGUUAAACUUGAUCUAGCGUAUUUGAACUUUCUGGAAAAUAAUUUUUGCGAUUUUUUGACAUCAUUUAUCUAGUGAUCGAAAGGAUUCAAAAUCAAUAAUUUUUAAUGGCUGAAAAUAAAAAUUUUAUAAAAAGUGGUGAUAUAGCACUAAAAUUUUCGAUCAGAAAUAUUGAUCUUGUUGUAGAUACUAUAAAGAAUUUUGUAUCAAAAUUUCAUUUGACUUAAACACUUCUACACCGUUAAACUUGAAAACGGUAGAUAUCAAUCAUUAAAAAUUAUGGAUUUUGAAUCCUUUCGAUCACUAGGUAAUGAUAUUAAAAAAUCGCAAAAAUUAUUUUCUAGAAAGUUCAAAUACGCUAGAUCAAGUCUAACGAAGCCGAUCGUCGAUUCGAAAAUACCAUCAUCGAUUCGAAAAUACCAUCAUCGAAAACGGCUCAGGAGCACGGAAGCCUGAGAGGCCUCCGUGCUCCUGAGAACACAGCAGCGCUGCUAUAUAUAUAUAUAUAUAUAUAUAUAUAUAUAUAUAUAUAUAUAUAUUCAUUUAUUUAUUUAUAAAUAUAUUUAUAUAUAUUAUGUAUAAUGUUGUUAUUACUUAUUAUAUAUUAUAUUAUAUAAUAUAAUUUUGAAUAUAUGUAAAUUAUAAAUAUAGAUGAUGUUGAUGACGAUAAUGAUAAAAAAAUAUAUAUAAGUUUUAAUUAUAAUAUAUAUAAUUCGAUAAUUAUUUAUAUAAAUAAUAUGUAAUAUAUAAUAGAAGAAAAUUAUAUAAAAUUAAUUUUCAUCAAAAAAUUUUCUUUCAACCAGUCAAGCAUGGCUGAAAAUUUAUUUUUUCGUUCUUAUAAAUGAAACAUU